AUUGAACGCUGGCGGCAUGCCUUACACAUGCAAGUCGAACGGCAGCACGGACUUCGGUCUGGUGGCGAGUGGCGAACGGGUGAGUAAUGUAUCGGAACGUACCCUUCAGUGGGGGAUAACUAUCCGAAAGGAUAGCUAAUACCGCAUAUUCUCUGAGGAGGAAAGCGGGGGAUCGCAAGACCUCGCGUUGAUGGAGCGGCCGAUAUCAGAUUAGCUAGUUGGUGGGGUAAAGGCCUACCAAGGCGACGAUCUGUAGCGGGUGUGAGAGGAUGAUCCGACACACUGGGACUGAUACACGGCCCAGACUCCUACGGGCGGCAGCAGUGGGGAAUUUUGGACAAUGGGCGCAACCCUGAUCCAGCCAUGCCGCGUGAGUGAAGAAGGCCUUCGGGUUGUAAAGCUCUUUCGGCCGGGAAGAAAUCGCGUGAGUUAAUACCUUGCGUGGAUGACGGUACCGGAAUAAGAAGCACCGGCUAACUACGUGCCAGCCGCCGCGGUAAGAC
rnacentral:rRNA from 1 species